rnacentral:rRNA from 1 species
UCCAGACUCCUACGGGAGGCAGCAGUGGGGAAUAUUGCACAAUGGGGGAAACCCUGAUGCAGCAACGCCGCGUGAAGGAAGACGGUUUUCGGAUUGUAAACUUCUGUUCUUAGUGAAGAAGAAUGACGGUAGCUAAGGAGCAAGCCACGGCUAACUACGUGCCAGCAGCCGCGGUAAUACGUAGGUGGCAAGCGUUGUCCGGAGUUACUGGGUGUAAAGGGAGCGCAGGCGGGAAGCCAAGUCAGCUGUGAAAACUACGGGCUUAACUUGUAGACUGCAUUUGAAACUGGUUUUCUUGAGUGAAGGAGAGGUUGGCGGAAUUCCGAGUGUAGCGGUGAAAUGCGUAGAUAUUAGGAGGAACACCAGUGGCGAAGGCGGUCUGCUGGACAGCAACUGACGCUGAGGCGCGAAAGCGUGGGGAGCAAACAGGAUUAGAUACCCGAGUA